GACUCCUCUCCAUUGGAUCUCUAGCACCUAGAAUAGAGCUGGGUACACAUGAUGAGGUGCUUAAUACGUAUUUGUCAAAUUGAAUGUCAAGUUUUAGGAGUUUAAAGAGUGUUUUCAAAUGGGGAGAAGCCGAGACACAAAUAGUCUCAGGAAUGAGAUGAAAUUAUUUAACCAAUUGGAGAUGAAAUUCGAAAUGGAAACUAUGACAUGACUCAACAUCCUCAAGCCCUGAAGUAAUAAUUAGCACAUAAAGUUGGUCUGUUAUGGACUUUGUGUUGUGCUCCCUGCAAAAUUGGAUACAGAGAGAAGACAGCUGUCUGCAAACCAGAAAGAGAGUCCUCACUGCACUUCAUAUCUGCCAAUGGAUCCUUGCUCUUGAACCUCCCAACCUGCAGAAUCAUGAGAAACAAACAUUGUGUAAGCCACCCACUCUACAGUAAUUUGUUCUAGCAGACCGAGCUGACUGAGGUUAAAAUUCCUAUGCGAAUCUGACUGACCCAGCUUGGGCUUCAUUCCAACCUCUUGGCUAGAUAAGAGUGUGGAACCUUAACUGAUGGUCCCUUUGACUGCCCGCCACAAGGGAAGAUCCAAAGUGUGGCAGAGAGUGACCAGGUCCCAGACAGGCAAAAUCAGCAGAUGUCCAUUCGCAAGCCAAAAGAGCUCCAGAAAAUGUUCUCUUUGAAUAGAAACCAUGUUUGCUAUACUCAUCCUGGAAAGUGGCCAUCCUGCUGGUCCUUAGAGCAGGCUGUGCCUGGGAGCCAUCUUUGAAUAUCCUCUGAGCUCAGAGGGAGAGACAUACCUCUAGUGAGGAUCCUGGAAACCUGCAUUUGCUCUAGGGGAAGCCUGCAGCUAUGUCAUGAGGACCCUCAACAGCCCUGUGCAGAGGACUAUGUGGCAUGAAAGAUACCUUCUGCCAACAACCAGCCCCAACUUGCCAAGCAUGUGAACAAGCUAAACUGAAAGCAGAUCUUCAGCCCCAAUCAAGCCUUCAGAUGACAGUAACCUCAGCCAAUAUACUGACUAUAACCUCAUAAAAGACCCUGAACCAGAACCCUCUAAGCCACUCUCAAACUCUACCCCACAUAAACUGUGAAA
rnacentral:lncRNA from 1 species